ACAGUCACACAUUAGAUACCCGUGUAGUCCCAGCCGUAAACUAUGCUCGCUAGGUGUCAGGCAUGGCGCGACCGUGUCUGGUGCCGCAGGGAAGCCGUGAAGCGAGCCACCUGGGAAGUACGGCCGCAAGGCUGAAACUUAAAGGAAUUGGCGGGGGAGCACAACAACGGGUGGAGCCUGCGGUUUAAUUGGACUCAACGCCGGACAACUCACCGGGGACGACAGCAAUAUGUAGGCCAGGCCGAAGACCUUGCCUAAAUCGCUG
rnacentral:rRNA from 1 species